rnacentral:lncRNA from 1 species
UCAUCGUCCGGAGACGGGUCGAUGGGGGAUGCUAUGAUGAAUUGGGUACAUCCAAACUUCUCCUGUGAUAUCUUUAUUUUCUUUUUCGGUUUAAGGUAGUGAAGCCUCAGUUAAUUUGCAAGUGUGCUAUGUUCUUGUUUGUUGCUGGCCUCUACCUGUUUGUUGGUAUGCGUUUGCAAACUGAAAAUGUUUGUAUUUUUCAGGUCUCUGUUAGAGGAAUGUAUUUUCUUGCAAACUAAAUUUGUUUUCUGGAACAUGUCUUCAUAUUUUAGAUUUUAGUAUAUGGCUUCAGAACUAUUCAUUGGAUAUACUUUGUUGAUUCUAGCCCGUGGAUAAGAAUAUUUUAGUCACUGGAGAGAUUGUUGAACAUGUGACAUUGAUGCAAAUCUCUGGCCACCUACGGGUGAAACUGCUUGAAGACCAAGUUUGAAUAUGUACGAGGGCAGUGAAUUUCGGCAUGCGAGUUUACUUGCAGUCCCUGACCCUAAUGUAAUCAGUCCCAGUAGUGAGGGAAAGGCACUGCCAACGAGGAUGUGGAGGAGAACAAGGUCGAGCCGGAUUGGUGAAGGGUGCUGAGGCUGGCUCUCUCUCCUCCUCGUCUUCGACAGUGUGAAGAAGAUCGAUGUUGAAAUGGACACAUGCUGCAGGAGAAGUAGAGGCGUCUUGUGAGCCUUGGGUUCUUCAUCGAUCUGUUUGUGCGUGCUCUUGGUCGCAUGCACGCCUAAGGUACAACUUGUCUCUCAAUCUCUCCUCCCUGUUAUGGAUCCAACAUGAGGAAAAACCACUCUUUUUUUAUUGUUGUUGCUUCUAUUUACCUUCCAGUUCAUGGUUGUUAGUGUAUGGAUGCCAGACCAAAUAAAAAGAGAUCUCAACUCAGUUUCUUUAGAUGAAGGUUCAUCUCGUGUAUCAUGAAGAAACAUCAACACUAAAGAGAGCACAGCUAUUAUCUCGACAAUACAAGCUAGAGAAAUUAAUCGAUGAGCAUUUUCAUGCAUAUUAUUUAAUCUAAUUUUUAGUUAUGCUAAUUUAGUAACAGUACUAUUUAUAUUUCUGAUUUGGAGAUAUAUGCAAUACAUCUUUCAGCAAUCAACUGUUCACCGACAUAACGUGAACACUAAGAGAGCAGAGCUAUUAUCUCAACAAUUGAGCUAGAGAAAUUAAUCUAUGAGCAUUUUCAUGCAUAUGAUUUAAUCUAAUUUUUAGUUGUGCUAAUUUAAUUGAUUUGGAGAUAUAUGCAAUAUACAUCUUUCAGCAAUCAACUGUUCACCGACCUGUCUAUUGUAUGCAUUAAUUGGAUUAAUUAACGACAAAUGCAUGAUUUAUUGAAGUCAAGUUACUAAAUAUUCAUGAUGGUAUCUUUUUCCCUGAACUUCUUAUCCAUGAUCAACUAAGAGUCGAAUACUUAAGUGGUUGAGGAAAGCUUCAAAUACAACAGUGGCAAACAUCUCCAUUGAUGCUACAAAGCAUCUCGAUGAUUUUGAAGUGAGUCUGCAUGUUAAUUAACAUUACUUCUUGCAUCACACCCUAUUGAUCUAAAAGUUACUUAGUUUUCUGAAUUUCAUAGGAUGCUUAUGAUAUAAAAAACUAUGCCCUUACCUUUAUAGACUGCUAUAAAUUUGAUUCUGCAGUUUUUGCUUGCAUCAUGUUUUUGUGCUUUAUUAGGCACUUUAUGUUGCACUAUUCUAUAUUAGACAGAUCAGGUUGUUUUUUCAGUGAUCAGGUUACUUACUGCUUAUCAUCGUCUAUAUGACCAUAACCUACUUUUGUGCAGGAUCGAUGGAUGGGAGGUGGGACACGAUUUUGUAAGUACAGACAAAAAAUGCAGUAUGCUUGAUUUUCUUAUUAUUGUACCUUUUCUUUUUCUGUUCAGGUGGAUCCUGAAUAUAUUCCACGUUUUCUGCUAUCUUCUGCGGUAUAUUUUGUUGCGAAGGUUGAAAACAUAAUAUUGAUAAAAAUAAUUUCCAUUUGUUUGCCAUGAACCUUCUGCACUAGAGGAAUGCUUGAAUUAGAUCAUCGAAGUUAAUUGCUAUUUUAUCAGUAUCUGCAUGUUAAAUGUGUCUAUAGUGAUUGAACAACUCUCAUUAAUAGAUGAAGCCGUCGAGCAGAAGGCAUUUUUUUACUUAGUUAUAAUUAUGGAUUAUGUAAUGGCUGCGCUCGACGAGAUCCUCCCCAACCUGACCCCUCCUUCUUCCUUUUCUAUAUGAUGCAGGUGUGGACACCUCUGUAUGCUCCAAGACUUAACUCUGUUGAUUUAUGGCAUGGUGAUUGGUGAUUGAUUUCGAUUGCACGGGAAUUCUGGGGAGAGCAGUGGAAAAGCUAUGGGGAACUUGUGUGUUAACGACGCUAGCAGUGAGGGUUUCUUUUGAGCUUCUCUUCGCUUCUCCUUAAUAAUCGGACCUUCCUGCUAUGCUUAGUGAAUUUCGAUAUUUUGAUGAUGCAAGCAUUGUUGUUUCUAGUGGCUGCAAGUAUUUCCUUUGGGCACAUUUUCUUCUAGCUUAAUUAGUCAGGAUCGUUGAUUUUAUAAACAACAUUCAGACUGUUCCUUGUAUUAGCAAAAAUCAGAUAAGAAUUGAAUUAUUGUACUUAAAGACAACCUGAAUGUCUUGUGCCAUGCAAAAGAGAUGCUCUGCAUUUCCUUUCACCUCCUGUUUGGCCAAAGCAACUACCUAUUGUGGCCUUUUGAUGCUGUACUGGUUGUGCAAAUAGUUGUUGUCACAGGCUGAUCAAAGUGGGAACAGAGCCAGAAAGCCGUUGAGGCACCACCUACUGUGGAGCAGACAAUCUUGGAGUCGCCGCAGACAAGUGUA